UCAACGUGAUACGCAACAUUCCCAGGGCGGCGUUCCGAGACGCUCCUCUACUUGACACGCUGUUGUUAAACAACAACGUUCUAGAAUCCAUAGACGACGGUGCGUUUGAAGGCGUACGGGACCUCAGAUAUCUGUAUUUAUUCAAGAACAAUAUACGACGGAUUGAUGUUAAUGCAUUUAGACCCCUCCAUCGUUUAGAGCAAUUGUGAGUACUGUAUACCAAUUGCGUGUUCGUUGUUAAUUGAGC